rnacentral:hammerhead_ribozyme from 1 species
ACGCAUCUGACGAGUCCCAAAUAGGACGAAACGCGCGUCCUGGAU